UUGGACAAGAUUCAUGUAGACGCGUUCCCACUCGCGCGGAAAGACAGUUGCUUGCUUGUAGCUCCCCCUGAUGGCCAGAGGCAGGGAAAGGGCUGGUGUUGGAAGAAUAGGAGCGAAUGCAAAACACACCAAGCGCCUCACUUUCUGGCUUAUGGGAAAUACGGAGAAUAGAGGAACAAGUAAACUGACACAGCAGGGAACCCGGCAGAUACAGGUGGUGGGCCUGGUCAGUUCUUUGAAUCAAGUGAGAAUACUAUGAAAGAUCAGAAGAUCCUCUUCUCCCACGACCUCCUCUGGAAGCCCCACAACUGGAGCUACUAUAGGAUUCACAAGGAGUGGGAUGAACC